rnacentral:siRNA from 1 species
UCGAAAGAGUUUCUGCCAGUUAUA